AGCGAACGCUGGCGGCAGGCCUAACACAUGCAAGUCGAACGAAGUCUUCGGACUUAGUGGCGGACGGGUGAGUAACACGUGGGAACGUGCCUUUAGGUUCGGAAUAACUCAGGGCAACUUGUGCUAAUACCGAAUGUGCCCUUCGGGGGAAAGAUCUAUCGCCUUUAGAGCGGCCCGCGUCUGAUUAGCUAGUUGGUGAGGUAAAGGCUCACCAAGGCUACGAUCAGUAGCUGGUCUGAGAGGAUGAUCAGCCACAUUGGGACUGAGACACGGCCCAAACUCCUACGGGAGGCAGCAGUGGGGAAUCCUGCGCAAUGGGCGAAAGCCUGACGCAGCCAUGCCGCGUGGAUGAUGAAGGUCUUAGGAUUGUAAAAUCCUUUCACCGGUGAAGAUAAUGACUGUAGCCGGAGAAGAAGCCCCGGCUAACUUCGUGCCAGCCGCCGCCGUAAUAC
rnacentral:rRNA from 1 species